rnacentral:misc_RNA from 1 species
CAAUUUCAAAGAAAAUGAUGCAUGCCCAAUUCUACAAACAAUAACACCUAGCAGGAACUAGGAUAAAGGGGAAAGAUUCUGCCAAAUUAGGGAUGGUGACCCAAAAUUCUGCCAAAUUGGUGUAGAAGAAUGGCAUAAGGAAUGAAAUUACAAUUAUACAAUUGAAAGACUUAUUUUCAUGAGGUACAACUGAUAGGUUUCAACCAUUGAAUCUCUGAGAUGUAAUAAUACAACAAUACUCGUAGCAUGAAUGCCUAAAAGUAAUGAUCAUAAGAAUAAGUAAAAAUUACAUGAAUGAAACAAGAAUGAGUCUCAUCCAGUUUGACUCCGUUUUCUCCAUCAAUUUACAACUCCUACAACUUGCAUUUGCAUUUGACCUAGUAAAUUCUCUCUGCAGUAGAUACUGGGCGCAAGAAGACAACAACCACUGUAAUAUUAUCUUUGCUACCUCUCUCUACAGCUUCUGUUGCCAAUCUCUUGGAGCACAUUCCAGGUUCUUUCACUGUGUCCCUGAUUAUGCUUAUAACCUCAGCAUUGCUCACGACAUCCCAAAGUCCAUCACUAGCCAUCACCAAAAAUUCAUCCUCUGCUGCUGACAGAGUGGUUUCAGUUAUCUCAGGUUCUGCAGUUACAGCAGGCUUCAAAUCGUCAUCACCAAUGGAGCGAGUGACCUGGAGCGCAGCAGGACCAACCCUCCAAGUAUCAACUUGCCAUUUAACCUGUCCCCCUGCACUAAUAACACGCUCCCUUUCCUCAAGACAACUUGCAACGUGAUCCUUACUUAAAGGAAAGGCAUCGCCAGCACGACACAAAAUUGUCCUGCAAUCACCAGCAUUAGCAACAAAAAGCUUGUUUCCAACUAUUAAAGCUGCAACAGCAGCGCAGCCAGGAUGCCAGUCUUUCUGAACAACUCCCUUAGAUUUACGGUGAGAAUCGAGUUCAUUUCGAAAUGCAGCAUCGGUACUAACAAAUGCUUCAAAUAAUGCAUCGAUGGGACUUCUUAUAGAAGCUAAACUCUGCGGAAAUCCUGGCAAAGACUGAACUGAAAACUCAGCUGCCGCUGCACCUGCAAUCCAGUCACAACUAUACCAUCAAUAUAUAAAAAUAGCAUUAGAAUUAAAUGAACAAAACAGGCUGAGGAAGAAUGACUGUGACACUAGUAGGAUCUUAGAAAACUUAGCAAGUCUUACAUUCUCAGUUACCAACUUCCAGAAAUUUUAUCCAUUGCCAUUUCUAACUUAAAACAACUAAAAACUAAUCAAAUGCCCAAUCAACAUGUAAAGGAAUCCUUUUUUGCAUGCCAUUUCAGAUAAUAACAAGAGAAAUGGCUAAACAUGGUAGACCUAUUCUUUGCACUGCAAGAUACACACAACUUGCUGUCCACAUCAGAUCACAGAAUGCUCAGCAGAAAUUUUGCAAUAUAAAAUUCUUUGGUCAAUGUAAGCCACAUUUUCAAGGAUUUUCUUCCACGAGAUUUGCUUAAAAAAUGGAAAAUAUGAUGGUGGGAAGCAACUUUCUAAGGAAAGAUCAUCUUGAAAUUAUAAAAGAUCUCAGAGGUUUGCGCUAUUUCUUUAUCUAGGAAUCAUUUCAUCAGUGACGUCGAUAAAGAUUAUACUAGUAACUUAGCCUCAAGUUCUCCAAAUUAAUUGUCUACUGAACUCUAGUUGUCAUUUGAACUAUUCUUCCUCAAAUUCAGUCUCAAAAGACCGUUAGCAAUGAAAGUCACCCCAUCGCACACCUCUAUGACCAUCAAAGAUGCCAAAAACAUGGAUAACCUUUUCAUUGCACAUGUGGGGCAUAAGGAAGUGUGCAUCCUCCAUGAUUUCCCUUCUCCCACAUGUAGCAAAGGAUCCCCAAGAAAGUACCGGAUGAUAAGCCAAGGGUUCAUUCAAAGAAUCAAGACAAUUAUUCGUACGUGAAUUAACAACUAAAGAAGCUUUCUUUGAUAAUUGUUUUCCCUGAGUGGACCAGUUAACACUCUCAAGAAAUGUUUGAAGGUUGUUGGCACCAUCAAUGAAAUGCUCAAUCUCUAAAACAGAAGAUGCUCCAGGGGCGAAAUUUUCUUCCAUUGAUUUUUUUCUGUGCUCCAAAAUUGGACAAAUUUUGAAAAUGAUAUCACUAAAAGAAGGCCUAUUCUGAGGAUUUUCAUCCCAACACCUCUGUAUCAAUGUCAGCAUACUUGUGGAUGCCCCUGACUCAGGACCGGCAAGAACAGGUCGCAAUUUACAAGACACCACUGCUGCAGUAAGUUGCUGCUUAGUAUAGUUCAUCUCCAAUACAGUAUAAGCCUGCCAGCAGUUGAGGAGUCAAACCAAACAUUGUUUGUAAUAUUUAGGGGUUAACUUCCUCUUGUCACUAAAUAUCUAACUUCAUCUUGUCACUAAAUAUCAAGUCAAUAAAUUUCAGUCUCUUAAAAAUCAUCUGUUGAAAUUUAGAAUGAUAAAAGAGAUAGGAGAAAAUAACAAGAGAAUGAUUUACUUGGUUCGGCUACCAAGAGUCCAUGUCCACGGACACAAAGCCUCAAAGGAUCCAUUUCAUUCACUUGUGUGUCUAACAUAAUAUAAAAGAGUCCAUAUUUAUAAUGGAAAUACAUGGAUCCUAACAAUGAGCCAUAAAUCACACAUUUAUACAAGCAUUAAUCAAGCCAAUGAUUUUGCUAAUCAAUCACAUGAUUUUCAUAUAAUCAUGAGAUUCUUCAAUACUCACUCUCAAUUUGUGCAUCGACUGAUGACUAAAUUCAAAACUUGUAAAUGGUGAAGAUGGAUUAUUGAAUACGACCAGAAUGCUCAUUAGUGCUGAAAUUGGACAAAAAUGAAGAAAUAGAUGAAAGGUGAAGAAAACACAGGUUUCUCAACAAUUGUAGUUGAAGUGGCUCCUUUUUUAAACAUGAUAGAAGACUGAGAGUGUAAUCCAAACGUUUUUUUUUUUUUUUUUUUUU